rnacentral:lncRNA from 1 species
GCUACUUUCGUGUAAUCGCGUGUGUCGGUUAGACCACCUGUUUUACCGUCAUCAAGACUCCAACUAUAUUGAGUAUUCAGAUUCGUGAACCUUCAUAUCUCCUAUUCGCAAUUUCAGAUUGAUUUUCAUCUUAUUCUUGCUUGUUCUUCGAUUGCUUGCAGGAACAAAGACCUUCGUGGUCAGGUUGAUCGUGCCCCCGCGGGAUCAAUAACCUUCUGGAGUUGGUGUAUCGAUCGCUAAGGCGUUGCCUCCUAGGUUGUAGUCGGAUCGUCAACGUCACCUCCUACCAAAUCGAUAAUUAGGUAUCUCAUCGAAAGAUCGGGACACCCUCGAGGCUAUCACGUGGUAUCAGAGCUUAAGGUUGCUCGGUGAGAUUUUUCCAGUUUAUCCGUAGUUUAGAUCUGUUUUUACCUAUCGUCCAGAAAAAGCCAAACAAAAAUUAGAAUUAGUUACCUUGUCCUAGAACCAAUCUGAGCCUUGCAAUUUUCACAUUAGUAUCUGCAUUGUUGAAUCUUUGCUGCAUUAAUCGUGUCGAGUUGCUGGAUUAGAUUGGAUCGUUUUUCAGAUUUUUUCUACUAGAUCGAACUUGCUUUUGGUUUUCUUGUUCUUCGUGUGACGCAGAUUUCCUUCAUCAAUCUUUUGCCGCCAAACUUCCUGCCACACCACCGCCAUAAUCUUCCGCCGCCACCAUAUCUUCCACCGAGUCCCUCUUCGAGUCCUACACCGAGUCCCUCUUCAAGUCCUACACCGAUUCCUUCUUCCAGUCCUACACCGAGUCCCUCUUCGAGUCCUACAUCGAGUCGGGAAGUUAUAGUGUUCAGCUGCGAGUUCGAGUCCGAGUCCAAUAAGGAGCGCUUUUGGAAAGUGUUUCAUAAUAGAUCGAAUUUUGUUUAGAGAUCAAGUUGUUCGGAAAGUUGUGAAAAAAAAAGAAGGAAAAGAAAAAAAAAAAACGAAAAAAAAAGAGAAAGAGUUCGAGUC